rnacentral:rRNA from 1 species
UUGACAUACUAAGAACUUUCCAGAGAUGGAUUGGUGCCUUCGGGAACUUAGAUACAGGUGCUGCAUGGCUGUCGUCAGCUCGUGUCGUGAGAUGUUGGGUUAAGUCCCGCAACGAGCGCAACCCUUUUCCUUAUUUGCCAGCGGGUCAUGCCGGGAACUUUAAGGAUACUGCCAGUGACAAACUGGAGGAAGGCGGGGACGACGUCAAGUCAUCAUGGCCCUUACGGCCAGGGCUACACACGUGCUACAAUGGUCGGUACAAAGGGUUGCUACCUCGCGAGAGGAUGCUAAUCUCAAAAAGCCGAUCGUAGUCCGGAUCGCAGUCUGCAACUCGACUGCGUGAAGUCGGAAUCGCUAGUAAUCGCGGAUCAGAAUGCCGCGGUGAAUACGUUCCCGGGCCUUGUACACACCGCCCGUCACACCAUGGGAGUUUGUUGCACCAGAAGUAGGUAGUCUAACCGCAAGGAGGACGCUUACCACGGUGUGGCCGAUGACUGGGGUGAAGUCGUAACAAGGUAGGCGUAGAUGA